rnacentral:lncRNA from 1 species
AGAUCUAGUAGGGUCUUCCGACCUCCUGAAAGGUACAUGGGUAUGCUUAUGAAAGAAGUAAAGAAGAUAUUCCUUAUGGGAGAUAGGGGUCAUGUGAUGAUCCUAAUACCUUUGAUAAGGCGAUGUUUGACAUCGAUUUUGAGAAAUAAUUAGAUGUAAUAAAGUUAAAAAUUGACUCGAUGAACUCAAACCAAAUAUG